GGUUGUUGCUCAGUGGUAGAGCACUCACCUAGCAUAUGAAAAGCCCUGGGUUCAAUCCUCAGCACCA
rnacentral:tRNA from 1 species